rnacentral:tRNA from 1 species
GGCUCUGUGGCACAGUGGAUAGUGCAUUGGUCUUCUAAUUCAAAGUUCGUGGGUUUGAGUCCCACCAGAGUUG